rnacentral:rRNA from 1 species
ACUCAAAGGAAUAGACGGGGGCCCGCACAAGCGGUGGAGUAUGUGGUUUAAUUCGACGCAACGCGAAGAACCUUACCAAGGUUUGACAUCCCUUUGACCGGCACAGAGAUGUGCCUUCCCUUUGGGCAAAGGAGACAGGUGGUGCAUGGUUGUCGUCAGCUCGUGUCGUGAGAUGUUGGGUUAAGUCCCGCAACGAGCGCAACCCUUAUGUUUAGUAGCCAGCACGUUAAGGUGGGCACACUAAAGAGACUGCCGUGGAUAACACGGAGGAAGGUGGGGAUGACGUCAAAUCAUCAUGCCCCUUAUAUCUUGGGCUACACACGUACUACAAUGGCUCAUACAAAGUGAAGCAAAGCGGUGACGCAGAGCAAAACACAAAAAAGAGCCUCAGUUCGGAUUGCAGGCUGCAACUCGCCUGCAUGAAGUCGGAAUCGCUAGUAAUCGCGAAUCAGCAUGUCGCGGUGAAUACGUUCCCGGGCCUUGUACACACCGCCCGU